rnacentral:rRNA from 1 species
AUUGAACGCUGGCGGCAGGCCUAACACAUGCAAGUCGAACGAGUGGCGGACGGGUGAGUAAUGUCUGGGAAACUGCCUGAUGGAGGGGGAUAACUACUGGAAACGGUAGCUAAUACCGCAUACCAUCAGAUGUGCCCAGAUGGGAUUAGCUUGUUGGUGGGGUAACGGCUCACCAAGGCGACGAUCCCUAGCUGGUCUGAGAGGAUGACCAGCCAACCUGGAACUGAGAAACGGUCCAGACUCCUACGGGAGGCAGCAGUGGGGAAUAUUGAACAAGGGGCGCAAGCCUGAUGAAGCCAUGCGGCGUGUAUGAGGAAGGCCUUCGGGUUUUAAAGUACUUUCAGCGGGGAGACGUUACCCGCAGAAGAAGCACCGGCUAACUCCGUGCCAGCCGCCGCGGAAUUC